UCAUUCUUCUCCUUUGCCGCUUCAUUCUUCAAACCCUAAAUUCACAUCUCAACUACUGUAGAUCACAUUGCCUCUUCUUUUUUAUUUUCUUUCUCACGAAUGCGUGUUUCACACAUAUCCUCGGACGCUCCAUCUUUCCCUCGGAUCAUCUAUGUUCGAUCAUAUUUUUUUUCACAAACCCUAACACAAAACGAUUCGCCGUCUCCAUCGAUUGAACCUUAUCACUUCAUAAACCUUAAUCGUACACAACCAUUUCAUCUAUUACGAAACCCUAAUGGCCAUCUCAAACAUAAUCAAAGCAACCAAUUGAUAGUUCUUUUGAUUAAAGAUUUGUUGAUUAUCGCAACUUCAUAAGGAUUAAAUUAAGGUAUAUUCAACAACUUUUACAGAUCUGUAAACUCCACAGAGAAGAUGGAUUUUGAGUUUAGAAGAGCGAGAGAGAAAUUGGAGAAAGAACAAAAGGAUCGAAAAGAAAAGGCCAAAUUACGAUUGGAAAGAGAGAGAAAAACCAAAUUAGAAGCUAAUCCCCACCGUGAAGCCAUUGAAUCUGCUCAGAGAUCUCGUAGAAUCCAUGCAAUGGAAGCACAAAUUAAGAUCGAUAAUGUUAGGCUUCAUCCAGAUGGAUCUUUAGUCAUUAUUCAGGUUCACUCACCGUCGCCAGGCUCCGUCGGUUUCAACCCCGUCUUUAUUGUGUUUGGUAACGGUGGUCCAAGUUCAGUGUUGGAAGGUGUGUGGAAUUUGGCAAACCGAUGUCAAUUCUUGCAUUGUGGCUGAACGAAUUAGUAGAAGGCAACAAGUUGAGCUCUUAAUCCCCCAGUUGCAGUUUCUUUGAUGAUCAAGGUGGAGUUAACUACAUCGGACUUGUGUGAGCUGGAACAUAUGGAUUGAUAGUACUACUGUGCAGGAACAUAUGGAGCUGGAGAAACGGUACCGGGAACUUACGGAUUUGUUGUUAGAGGUAAUGACAAGCGAAAAGGCGGCAGCGGAGUUCCAAUUAGAAAAGGAGAUGAAGCGUAUUAAAGAAGCGCAGGUAGAAGUAGAAAGAAGCAGAGUCCCUCGACGCGCAUCAGCAAGUUGGGAACGGGAAGAAGACACCGACAUGAAAGCCCUUGAGGAGUUGUAGAUGAAUUUGGUAUACCAAAAAUCGAGGAUGCCAAUCCGGUAGCACUUCAACCUUCUUGGCGAUUCGGGAAUGGAAUGUUUGCAGUCGUUUUUGUUGUUUGGCCUUCUUAUAACUGCUUUGAAGAGUCGUAAAGCACGGUAUUGGUGUUACGGGGCCGGUUAGUGUUUCAUCAUGUUUGUUUUACAGCCAUGAAUCUUUAUUAUGGGUAUGGGUUUGAUAAUUAGGUGGAAUGGGUAUGUAUUCAAUUUUAAUCUAUUUAUUUAUUUUGUUCAGAUUCGAUGGGCUCAGAGACAGCUCAUUUUAUCUACUUGAUUUUGAAGGUAUUAGUUGUAAUCUAUCUAGAUGUUGGUUGAUGACUGUCACACCCCAACCGAUGGCGGAAACAUCGGGAUGAGACGAAGUGUGUAUAGAUUGCUAGAGACGUCAUAACACUAUGUGACAAUAUUUAAUUAAAUUUGAAUUU